AUUGAACGCUGGCGGCAGGCCUAACACAUGCAAGUCGAGCGGAUGAAGGGAGCUUGCUCCUGGAUUCAGCGGCGGACGGGUGAGUAAUGCCUAGGAAUCUGCCUGGUAGUGGGGGAUAACGUCCGGAAACGGGCGCUAAUACCGCAUACGUCCUGAGGGAGAAAGUGGGGGAUCUUCGGACCUCACGCUAUCAGAUGAGCCUAGGUCGGAUUAGCUAGUUGGUGGGGUAAAGGCCUACCAAGGCGACGAUCCGUAACUGGUCUGAGAGGAUGAUCAGUCACACUGGAACUGAGACACGGUCCAGACUCCUACGGGAGGCAGCAGUGGGGAAUAUUGGACAAUGGGCGAAAGCCUGAUCCAGCCAUGCCGCGUGUGUGAAGAAGGUCUUCGGAUUGUAAAGCACUUUGAGUUGGGAGGAAGGGCAGUAAGUUAAUACCUUGCUGCUUUGACGUUACCAACAGAAUAAGCACCGGCUAACUUCGUG
rnacentral:rRNA from 1 species